rnacentral:rRNA from 1 species
CCUGAACGCUGGCGGCGUGGUUAAGACAUGCAAGUCGCACGGGCCUAGCAAUAGGUCAGUGGCGCACGGGUGAGUAAUGUAUCGCUAACGUACCCCGGACACUGGGAUAGCCGUCCGAAAGGACGGGUAAUACCAGAUAAGACCACGAGGUCGCAUGGCCUUGUGCUCAAAGGUCCGCCGGUCUGGGAGCGGGCGAUAUCGUAUCAGCUAGUUGGUGAGGUAACGGCUCACCAAGGCGACGACGCGUAGCCGGACUGAGAGGUUGGCCGGCCACAUUGGGACUGAGACACUGCCCAGACUCCUACGGGGGGCUGCAGUAACGAAUCUUCCACAAUGCCCGCAAGGGUGAUGGAGCGACGCCGCGUGUGGGAUGAAGUCCUUCGGGAUGUAAACCACUGUCAGGGGUUAGAAAGUUCUGAUCAACCCCAGAGGAAGGCACGGCUAACUCUGUGCCAGCAGCCGCGGUAAGACAGAGGUGCCAAGCGUUAGGCGGAAUCACU